rnacentral:rRNA from 1 species
UGCAUGUCGAGCGGCCGCUGUAACUACCGGAGCGGCAUGACGGGAGCAGUAUCACGAUGAGGAACGUUAUCCCUUCGGUUCUAACUAACCCAGGGGAAACUUGGGCUCUUACCGGAUACGAUCCGUAAGGAGAAAGAUUUAUCGCCAAACGAUCGGCCCGCGCCCGAUUAGCUAGUUGGUGAGGUAAUGGCUCACCACGGACACGAUCGUUAGUCUGGUCAUGAGAGGAUGAUCAGCCUCACUGGGACUGAGACUCGGACCAGACUCCUACUGGAGGCAGCAGUGGGGAAUAUUGGACAAUGGGCGCAAGCCUGAUCCAGAUCUUGCCCCGCGGGUGAUGAAGGCCUUAGGGUUGUAUAGCCCUUUCGGCUGGGAAGAUAAUGACGGUACCCGCAGAAGAAGCCCCGGCUAACUUCCUGCCAGCAUCCGCCGUCAUACGAAGGAGGACUAGCGUUGCUCGCAAUCACUGGCCGUAAAGCGAACGUAGGCAGGUUCUUACGUCAUAGGUGAAAUCCUGGAGCUCCUCUCCAGAACUGCCUUUGAUACUGAGGAUCUCGCAGUUCAGGAGAGGUGAGUGGAACUGUCCCUGUAGAGGUGAAAUAUCGUAGAUAUUCGUAAAGAACUCCCGUGGACAAGGGGGCUCACUGGCUCGAUCCUGACGCUCAGGUGCGAAAGCGUGGGGAGCAAACAGGAUUAAAUACCCUUGGUAGUCCCCCCCCGUAAACCUAUGGAUGCUAGG